rnacentral:tRNA from 1 species
UGCCCCAUCGCCCAAUGGUAACGGCACCGGACUUUGACUCCGGGAGUGUUGGUUCGAUUCCAACUGGGGCAGCCA